rnacentral:rRNA from 1 species
UACGGGGGGAGCAAGCGUUGUUCGGAAUUACUGGGCGUAAAGCGCGCGUAGGCGGCUCUUCAAGUCGAGUGUGAAAGCUCCAGGCUUAACCCGGAAAGGUCAGCCGAUACUGCGGGGCUAGAGUGCAGAAGGGGCAACUGGAAUUCUCGGUGUAGCGGUGAAAUGCGUAGAUAUCGAGAGGAACACCUGCGGCGAAGGCGGGUUGCUGGGCUGACACUGACGCUGAGGCGCGAAAGCUAGGGGAGCGAACGGG